rnacentral:rRNA from 1 species
GAUGAACGCUGGCGGCGUGCCUAAUACAUGCAAGUCGAGCGAACAGACGAGGAGCUUGCUCCUCUGACGUUAGCGGCGGACGGGUGAGUAACACGUGGAUAACCUACCUAUAAGACUGGGAUAACUUCGGGAAACCGGAGCUAAUACCGGAUAAUAUAUUGAACCGCAUGGUUCAAUAGUGAAAGACGGUUUUGCUGUCACUUAUAGAUGGAUCCGCGCCGCAUUAGCUAGUUGGUAAGGUAACGGCUUACCAAGGCAACGAUGCGUAGCCGACCUGAGAGGGUGAUCGGCCACACUGGAACUGAGACACGGUCCAGACUCCUACGGGAGGCAGCAGUAGGGAAUCUUCCGCAAUGGGGGAAAGCCUGACGGAGCCACGCCGCGUGAGGGAUGAAGGUCUUCGGAUCGUAAAACUCUGUUAUUAGGGAAGAACAAAUGUGUAAGUAACUAUGCACGUCUUGACGGUACCUAAUCAGAAAGCCACGGCUAACUACGUG